UUUAUGGAGAGUUUGAUCCUGGCUCAGGAUGAACGCUGGAGGCGUGCCUAAUACAUGCAAGUCGAGCGAACGGACGAGAAGCUUGCUUCUCUGAUGUUAGCGGCGGACGGGUGAGUAACACGUGGAUAACCUACCUAUAAGACUGGGAUAACUUCGGGAAACCG
rnacentral:rRNA from 1 species